rnacentral:rRNA from 1 species
GCCCGCGGUGCAUUAGCUAGUUGGUAGGGUAAUGGCCUACCAAGGCAACGAUGCAUAGCCGACCUGAGAGGGUGAUCGGCCACACUGGGACUGAGACACGGCCCAGACUCCUACGGGAGGCAGCAGUAGGGAAUCUUCCGCAAUGGACGAAAGUCUGACGGAGCAACGCCGCGUGUAUGAAGAAGGUUUUCGGAUCGUAAAGUACUGUUGUUAGAGAAGAACAAGGAUAAGAGUAACUGCUUGUCCCUUGACGGUAUCUAACCAGAAAGCCACGGCUAACUACGUGCCAGCAGCCGCGGUAAUACGUAGGUGGCAAGCGUUGUCCGGAUUUAUUGGGCGUAAAGCGCGCGCAGGCGGUCUUUUAAGUCUGAUGUGAAAGCCCCCGGCUUAACCGGGGAGGGUCAUUGGAAACUGGAAGACUGGAGUGCAGAAGAGGAGAGUGGAAUUCCACGUGUAGCGGUGAAAUGCGUAGAUAUGUGGAGGAACACCAGUGGCGAAGGCGACUCUCUGGUCUGUAACUGACGCUGAGG